UCGCUGUUCAGCAGACAGAAGUCGGACGGUGACCCGUGGAGGGCUUUCUUCACGCAGGGCGCGGCUCAGGAUCACAGCACUGGGUCCUUGGCGGUGGUGAGUUCUGGUGCUAGAGCUAAAGCCUGGCAGGACUGAGGACAAAGUAAAGCUCUACCUCUCGGUGGUGAAUGUCUCAACAGGACUUACCCACGAAGCUAUGCUGGACUGACUCUGGAACUGUGUGAGGAGCUGCUGGAUUCUGUCGUUACUUGGGCAGUGCCCUACAAACAGCUCUCAACUGACCAACAAAGAGCUGCUUGGUUUGUGGACAGCAAUCUGUGGUGAAUGGACGUCUAGUUUGGAAGGCCACCACUCUGAUAGAAGAAGGUAAAAACAAAUCAGCUCAGUGUUUGCAUGCUGUUUUCCUAGCAGCGAUAGAAGAAUUGAAUAGUGGGAAAGCCCCUAUGUUUGGGCUUUUACUGACUCCUGGGCAGUGGCCAAUGGCCUGGCCAUAUGGUCAGGUAGAAGGGCAGUGGAAAUCUGGCCUAUUAAAGGGAUGCCGGCAUGGGGCACAGCCCUAUGGAAAUUUGAGGGGUGCAUUAAAGUAGGACAUGUCAAUGCCCAUCAGAAGAAGCCCCUCCCAGGUUCAGAAGGUGAUUAGAAUCAACAAGUAGAUAUUCCUGUAUGCCCCCUUGAGAUGGCCACCCGGGUCUAUGAUUUGAGUGGACAGGGGGGCACUGCAGCAAUGCAGAGAUGGGCUGAGUCUCAACAUAGUCCUCUUGCACCCUCUGAGGCACAAAACGCCAAUAAGAGCCGUCCUGUCUGCCAACAAGAGAGACAGAGACUGCAGAUGGCUAUGUGGCAGAUUCCCUGAUAGGAAGGCCCUGAUCAUAGCUGGCACAUGAGACUGAUGCUGGUAUCCCUGGGGGGCUACAAAUGGGUCCUGACAGGAAUAGACACUGACUCGGGACUGGGCUUUGCUUAUCCAGUGGUGGAUGCAAACGCUCAGAAUACUAUAAAAGAACCAGAAUAGAAGAUGUUGCACCAAUUUGAAUUGCUGACUGUCAUUUCUUUAGACCAAAGAACACACUUUACAGCCCAAAAUGUCCAACAAUGGGCAGAGAGUAAUCCUGCUCAGGGUACUAGUUUGACAGAUAAUUGAAAUUGGCCAUUAAAACAUUGGUUGUCUAAAGUAGGGGGAGAUAAAGGCACGAAGAGCUGGCUUACACACCUUCAUGAGUGUGUGCUCACACUCAACAUGAGGGGGAGCUAAAGGAGUGUAGAUUUGUCUAUUUUUCUGGUGGACCUGGGGAAGAGGGGGUGGGGAAGGUGCUAGUAUUUUUUCUUCCCCGCAUCACCUCAACUUUUUCCCCCGUACCUGAUGCAGUGGUCACAGGACCAGGGCUACAACUACAAAGGCUGGAAACAGGGAUGACUCCUAAGCGAACACUGUAACUAUGUUUUUAAUCUUUAUGUCAGAAUUCCUAAGGGCCUGAUGGGGCAGGGUCUGCUUUCACUCCAUCUGGCAAAACUGAGGCUAACAGUGAAUGCAGCUACACUGCCUGCUGGUAAAGACAGCCCGCUAGUUCUGCACCAGAUAACCUUACCUUAUCUGAAUAGAAGUGAACUGAAGGGGAGGACUUAUUAGACUAGUAUUACUGCCUACAAUCUAGACCAACACAGUGGCUGAACCAUUGUCCCUUCCAAAGGUGGAAGAGUUUGGGUAUAAAUGGAGAGAAGAAGAAAUAGUAGCUAAGGGUUAAGUAGUCAAUAAAUGAGUUAUGUAAUAAGGGAAAUCCAAUAUUACACGAACACCUCAAAAGAGGCUCAGAGCAAGAGAUGAUACUGUCUCUUAGCUCAAUUAUAUCAGAUGCCUGGAAGGAUGAAGCCAUGUAUUGCCGAGACCACUCCUGCUUUGGGAACCUGACAAGAUCAAAUGGAAACCCGAAAACCUCACCCCGGGGGGCAUUCUCAUACAAUAGGAUGAUGGACUGGAAUGAUUAUUAAUGACUGCUGGGGUUCUAGUAAUGUGCCAGUAUCUUUUGACUUGUGUCAAAUCAUUUUGCUGUAAGGGGUCCAUGGCCAGAGACCAGGGGUGGGCUUGAGAGAAUAGAAAAUAUAGAAAAUGUAAACUAUGUAUAUUGGUCUCUGGCUGCACUCCCCUCACCCCCAGUUCCUGGCACAGAGCUCCUAAAACCCUUGUAGUUUCCUAAGUGAUAAGAACCCUAGGAGCAUCUCUUGUUCUAAUACUUGUCUUUGACCUCAUCCCUGACAAAGGUUCCUAAAAACCUUGUAAAUUCCUAGGUGUUAAGAGCACGAGGAGCAUAUUUUGUUCUAUUGAGGCGACUCUGGGUGGGCUCCUGGAUGGCUCCUGAAUGAGGGCUGGUCACCAGAAAGACCAAGCCAUGAUUAGAAGCUUGGGAUUUUCAGCUGCACACCCCACCCUCCAGAGUGGGGAGAGGGGCUGAAAAUGGAGUUAAUGAUCAUAAUGAAGCCUCCAUAGAAUCCCAAAAGUAUGGGGUUCAGAGAGCUUCCAUGUUUGUGAACACAUCCACGCUGGGAGGCUGAUGCACCCCACCUCCACGGGGACAGAAGCUUCUGUGCUUGCCACCCUCCCUGACCUUACCCUAUGUGUGUCUUCAUCUGAUUAUUCAUCUGUAUCCUUUAUCAUAUCCUUUAAUAAACUGGUGAACGUGAAGUAAGCGUUUCCCUGAGUUCUGUGACCCACUCCAGCAAAUUAAUGGAACGUGAGGAGGGGAUGGUUGGAACCCCCAAUCUGUAGCCCUGCUGGGUCAGAAGUACAGGUGAUAAGCUGGUUUUGCAACUGUCCUCUGAAAUGUGUGUGUGGUGGGGGGCAGUCUUGUAGGACUGAGUCCUUAACCUGUGGGAUCUGACGCUAUCUCUGAGUAAAUAGUGUCGGAAAGGAAUUAAAUUGUAGGACCUCCAGCUGGUGUCACAGAGAAUUGCUUGGGGUGGGGAGAAUCCUCCACACAUUUGGUGACCAGAAGUGAAGUGUUUGUGUGAGUAGUAAAGGAAACUCACAGGGAAGAAAAACAUAGGAAG